rnacentral:rRNA from 1 species
CAAGUCGAACGGCAGCGCGGGGGCUUCGGUCUCUGGCGGCGAGUGGCGGACGGGUGAGUAAUAUAUGGGAACGCGCCCGGCGGCGGGGGAUAACUCUGGGAAACCAGAGCUAAUACCGCAUGCGUUUCGCCUUUCGGGGCGAAAGAAAGCGGGGGACUUCUUCGGAGGCCUCGCACCGGCGGAGCGGCCCAUAUCCGAUUAGCUUGUUGGCGGGGUAACAGCCCGCCAAGGCCGCGAUCGGUAGCUGGUCUGAGAGGACGGACAGCCACACCGGGACUGAGACACGGCCCGGACUCCUACGGGAGGCAGCAGUGGGGAAUAUUGGACAAUGGGGGCAACCCUGAUCCAGCAAUGCCGCGUGUGUGAAGAAGGCCUUCGGGUUGUAAAGCACUUUCGCGGGGGAAGAAAAAGCGAGGGGUAAUAUCUCUCGCGCCUGACGGUACCCCGAGAAGAAGCACCGGCUAACUACGUGCCAGCAGCCGCGGUAAUACGUAGGGUGCGAGCGUUAAUCGGAAUUACUGGGCGUAAAGCGUGCGCAGGCGGCCUGUCAAGUCGGGUGUGAAAUCCCCGGGCUCAACCCGGGAAUUGCGCUUGAAACCGGCGGGCUAGAGUACGGCAGAGGAAGGUGGAAUUCCGUGUGUAGCGGUGAAAUGCGUAGAUAUACGGAAGAACACUCAUGGCGAAGGCAUCCUUCUGGGCCGUAACUGACGCUCAUGCACG